rnacentral:rRNA from 1 species
GACGAACGCUGGCGGCGUGCCUAACACAUGCAAGUCGAACGGAAAGACCCUUCGGGGUCCUCGCGUGGCGAACGGGCGAGUAAGACGUGGGUGAUUUGCCCUGCACUUUGGGAUACGCGUGGGACACUGGGUCAACUGCCGUAUAGGCCCACGCGCUUCAUAGCGGGUGGGGGCAAGAGUUGGCGGUGUGGGUUGGGCCGGCGGCCAAUCAGCUUGUGCGUGAAGUAAUGGCAUGCGAAGGCGCGGACGGGUAGCCGACCUGAGAGGGGGACCGGCGACACUGCGACUGCGGUACGGCGCAGACGCCAACGGGAGGCAGCAGUGGGGAGUAUUGCACAGUGGCGGCGAGCGUGAUACGGAGAUGCCGCGUGAGGGAUAACCGCCUACGGGUUGUAAACCUCUGUCAAAGGGGACGAAGCGAAAGUGACGGUACCUAAAGAAAAAGCACCGGCUAACUACGUG